GACGUAGGUGGCGAACGUUAUCCGGAAUCAUUGGGCGUAAAGGGUGCGUAGAUGGCAUGAUAAGUUAUUAGUGGGAAAUCGAGGCUCAACCUCGUGGAAGCUGGUAAUACUGUUUUGCUUGAGUGCAGGAGAGGUUAACGGGACUCCAUGUGGAGCGGUAAAAUGCGUAGAUAUAUGGAAGAACAUCAAUAACGGCGAAGGCAGUUAACUAUUCUGCUACUGACAUUGAGGCACGAAAGCGUGGGGAGCAAAACGG
rnacentral:rRNA from 1 species